rnacentral:lncRNA from 1 species
UGGAUCAAUUUUGUAAAAACAAAUAAAACUAAAAAAAAUAAAAUAAAAGAACAAAAAAAAUACAAAUAAAAAAAAGUAAAGAAAGCAGGGGCUGUAGGAAAAACAUAAGAAUAAAAAAAAAGAGAAAAAUCAUAAAAAUAAUAAAUUAUAUUAAUAACAGCAGUAGAAGUCAAGAAUUAAAAUAUUAUAUGCCUCAUAAUUCGAAUAAGAAAUUAUAACUAAUUAAAAUAUGAGCUCUAAAUCAUCACAUGCCUUAUAAUUUGUGCUAAGAAAAUAUAAUCUGAUAAAAUUCGAGAACUAAACUAUCAUGUAUCUUCUAGUUUGAGGACCAAAAGCGUAGUUUAUCUUUUUUAUAUUUUAAGUUUAUUUCAGAUGAAGACCGAGUUGUGUAUCGAUCAAUUUUGUUCAAUCAUGAGUUUUAUUUGAGAAAAAAAUAUGUUAAAUUAUCUAAUAAAUUUUAAAAAUCUAAUUGUUAAAAUUAAAGUCAACCAAUAAUAUAUUGAAUAUUCUAAAAUAUUUUAAAUGUAAAAUUGAUCGCUCAUCAGACUAUAAAUAUAGUAUUGAGGUUUGAUAUUAAAAUCAAGUAAAAAUGUAUAGAAUAUUUUUAAAAUAUAAACCAUUUUGAAUCAAUUAUUCAACAUUUCAAAAUUUUAUUUUUAUCAUCCAAUUUUUUUCUAUACUUGAUUUGAGUUAAUCAAUGAUACUUUUACUUUAAAAUUUGAAUGUGUUAUUUAUCUUUACAAAUUUAGUUUAUAUGCUUUAUGCAUUUUUUACAACUAAAUUUAUUAAAAUAACUAAUUAAAUUAAAUUUUAUUAAUUUUUUUAAUUUUAUUAUAUAAUUUAAUAUGUAAUUGAUUAAUAUUACCAAACUAAAAUUUAGUAGAGGAAGUGAAAAAUUAAAUAAAAAAAUAAUAAAAAAAAAGAUUGGCCCCACCUCCACCCCCAGUACCCCAACGGCCGCCGCAGCCACGUGUUUUUCCAACUGUCGAUUCAUUAUAUGUAAUACAUAUAGGGAAAACUUCAAAAACCCCCCCUGUGGUUUCAUGCAUUCUCACUUUACUACCCUGUGGUUUAAAACGUAUCAAUUUGCCCCCCUGUGGUUUCAUUUUUAUCUUUUCGGAAGCUUUUUCGUUAACAUUUCGUUAAAUUAUAUACAAAAAAACUUCAGAUAACCAUCUAUAUUUAUCGAAUAUUCACUUUAGUAUCCUUUAAUUUUAACUUUGUCACUGAUUUAAGAAAAAAAUAAUAAUAAAAUUGAUAACAAAAAGAGAAAAACGAAACCACACGGAGGCAAAUUGAUACGUUUUAAACCACAGGGUACUAAAGUGAGAAAGCACGAAACCACAGGGG